UGUGUAUGUGUGGUUGUAUUUAUUAGCUGGCUAAUAACAAGAGGCUGUGAGUGAGACCUAGUAUUACAAAGUUGACCCAGCAACUUUACACCAGUGGGAGAGGCAGAACUGCUCUUUCUUUUCAACAUAACUUAAGUUACACAUGAUUUCUUCCAAGUGGUUUGGCUUGUUAAAAACAUCUUACAUUUAGAUACAUUAUGAUACAGGAAAUUGCUGGCUUUGUGUUUACAGAAGUACCUGACUAUGCCGGACUUUUGUGCAGCCUACAGAUGCUCUAAUCGCCGCAGUCUGGAAACAAGAACCCGUGGAAUCACCUUUCACGUGUUUCCCAAAACCGGAGAGAGGAGGAGGCAGUGGGAAGUUGCCCUAAGAAGGCAGGACACUGCUCUGCAGUGAUCACUUCAGUUGUGAGGACUUUGACAGGACGGGGCAGACUGUCCGGCUUAAAGAUGGUGUUGUGCCAACAGUAUUCAACUUCCCAGCUCAUAUUCAAAGGCCGGAAGCAACAAGAAGCACAACCACUUCUAGAAGAGCGGAAGAUGAACCUCAGCCUAAUGUUGUGAGUAUUCUGAAUGUGGCCAAGACCAGAGAGAUGGUCAUUGAUUUCAGGAGGGUGAG